CCGAACACUUUGUUUUGCUUGAUGAAGAGCAGGAAGGGCAGCCUGGAGAGAAAGAGAAGCCGGGUUGAGCCCACUACCAUCAUUCACGUACCACGAGGAAGAUGAGGGAGAGAAAUGAUCCUACCAUUAAAGAGACUGUGAAAAGAGCGUUGAGAACAUCACCACUCUACAGGAAGACACAGUCCAGUAAUGGGUGUCAGAAGUUCAGUAGUGAACGACAGAAACAAACAAUCCAAAUUACCUGCAGAACGCCCUUGAUGGACGCUUCAGAUGCAUCGUCAGACUGGCGAGACAGCAAGAUGCCAACU